UAUGGUUAAGCUAGGGAAUGAACUGUUAGAUCAGGUGAGCGAAUAGUAAUCUCUCUUAAGUGCCAUUAAUCUUGUAUAAGACCGAGGGCAAAAGUGGUAGAUCUAUCGGGUGUAGCGAGCCCCACUCUUGGGUCCUUGUGUGGCCCAUGUAGUGCUUUUGUUGUUCUAACCGGGUGGACCGGGGGAAAUCCGCUAGGGUUGAGUGCUUCCUAUGUCGCCACACAUAUUAAUGUCCUUGCAAAACAUUAAUGAUCUGUUCAUAGACGCUUACAUACCAGCUUUUGAUACUCAAGUUUUCAAAUGUUUUAAAGAUUCAUUUGAUUGAAACUCACAAAUACAUCGAUUUACAAACUUUGGUAACGCUUUUCAAACUAUACCUAAGUAAGAGGACACGCUAAUCCUGCUUACAAAGGUUCGUUUGGGCUUGGCCCAUUCUCUCUCGUGCAAUGCACAAAGACUCUCGUGGGCUAGACUCACAGUUUUCAUAUAUCAUGCCAAGAAAAUGAUUUUACUAUAUUUUCUCAACAACUUUAUAACCGGUUAUCAAAAAGAUUUAUUUUAAAUCUUUUCAAAACAAACUACGAACUCGCUCAACUUUAUGUUGACUUUUUCGCAUGUUCUUUCUUAGGUUGCAUUUUCAAAACUAUGGAACGGUUGGAAUAGGAGAACCCAUGGGAAUUCAAGUACUUAGCGGCGUUCAUUGUUUAGAAGUCUUAGCUUAAUUGCUUCCGCUGUGCAAUGAAGAUACCAGUCCAGUCACGCCAGCUCUGAUAUUUCGGGGUGUGACAGUAGUGCUUCGGAGUCCCAGUCGAGGUUAAUGGACACAGUCGAGGUUAAUCGACACAGUCAAGGAAAAUCGACAAGGUGUAAACUGACGUAUUUUCCAAAAAGGCUAAGUGCAGGUACUACGCGUAAUAGGCUGGUCACUCCUUAA
rnacentral:lncRNA from 1 species